CAGACCUUACGAGCUCUAACUUAAAACUUUGGGCUUAAGCCUUGGUUAAUGCGUUAUUUGGGUCGGUUAGUGAACUUAUGAGGUCAUGAUCAGGAGAUUAAGAAGAGGCUAAGUGGGCCAAGUGACUUGGAUGAGAAGGAAGGAGCUAGGGUUAUGAAAAUCCUAGCCCAUUAGUGGUGAUGCCGCAGCCUUGCAAAGGGAAAAGGGAGGAAGAUUCUGACUUUUUUCUGAAGUAAAGAGUGAUUAGUACCAAUUAAACCCUUCCCCUUGCUCCUAAGAGGCCUCCACUCGUCACCCUUGCACCACCAGCAACCACCGCCCACCAAGGAGGAGGAGGAGACACGAGAAAGAGAGAAAAACCGCAAGGAAGGAGAGGAAACGCGAGAAGGAGAGGAAGCACGUGGAGGAAGGAGAAUUUUGGACAGCAGAGGAAGCUCUUUCUAUUCUUCACUUCUCUCCAUCAAAAUCCUGCUUCUUUUCAUCUAAAUUCAUUCAAAACCCGAGAUGGUCGUGAAGAUAAUGGCGAUGACUCAUUCUUGGGAGUUGAUGCUACGUGACGUGCCAAUACCGGAGGACGACUACACUUCAGAGGAAGAGGCUAAGGAAUAGGGUUUGGGUUGAGAGUCUUUUGUUUUCUGUUGGGGUUGAGAGUUUCCGAAGUGUUGGUAUCGAACAAUUUUAUUGCUUAAAUUCGAAUGAACAAGUUUUGAUGUAAUCUUUAUUUUCAUUCAGGCCUUUGAUUCGUA